UACGUAGGGUGCAAGCGUUAAUCGGAAUUACUGGGCGUAAAGCGUGCGCAGGCGGUAUGUUAGACAGGGGUGAAAUCCCCGGGCUUAACCUGGGAACUGCAUUUGUGACUGCAUAGCUAGAGUACGGUAGAGGGGGAUGGAAUUCCGCGUGUAGCAGUGAAAUGCGUAGAUAUGCGGAGGAACACCGAUGGCGAAGGCAAUCCCCUGGACCUGUACUGACGCUCAUGCACGAAAGCGUGGGGAGCAAGCAGG
rnacentral:rRNA from 1 species